GUUCUUUCCUGAUCAUAAGCUAAAAUUGGAGGAAUACUGAGAAUAUUAGUAUGGUCCCUGUGCACAGGAUAACAUGCAAAUUUGCCUGGCGUUCCAACAUCUU
rnacentral:snRNA from 1 species